GCACCGCAGAAUCUCAUCCUCAUAAUGCUUUCUUUUAUUUAAUUGCAGAAACUAUCCCAGGAGAGGGUGAGAAGUAAGUACCAUGAAGUAACUCAUUUCAUGAAGGACCAACUUGAUGCUUGAGUGUAUAGAAACUUGAUUCUGGGAUCCCGCUAGGAAGGAUGAUUGGGGUCUCCUGAGAGAAAGUGAUUUGGCCCAUAUAGAACUCCAGCCAGAGAGGCUGUAGGAAGGUUUGUCUGCCCAGAGCAAAGACCAAGGAAUGAUGUGUGAGGCAGCGUGGCUUCAGCUGGAGGAAGAGGUGUGGAUUGCUAAAAUUUGUGCAGGAAACUCCUAUGAUAAAAUGUGCUGAUAGCACAUAAUUCUGUCCAUGUUACGGAUGACAUUUUUAUCUUUGGAGGACCCUCAUUUUAUAUAAUAAGAUACAAAACUAAGUGGGCACCAUCUGUCCAGUCUGGGGCACUUCAUUAAAGACCUGAGUUUGCUGCUGUCUGUCAUUUGCUUUUCUUCAUGACAAUUUUGAACCACCUAAAUAUUGCCAGCACCCUCUUUUUGGACCCUGACAUCCAAGAGGGUGAGAUGGCACAAGUGCAGACAUCCCUCCUCCUUUAAUCAUCUCCCUUAGGGACCUGCUGUGACUGCUAAUGACUUGUUUAGACCUCUCCAGGUCUGGACUAUUAUACAUAGAAUAAAUCAAUAUGUGUUUCUUGGUGUCUGGCUUUUUCACUCACAUUAUGAUUUGAAAUUCAUUCAUGUUCAUAAGUGUAACUGUAGUUCUUCCAUUUCCUUGUUGCAUACCAUUCCACUGUAGUCACCUAUUACAGUUUAUCCACUCUACUGUUGAUUGACAUCGAAUUUUCUUUUUCUGUUUUUAAAUAAUUAUGGCUGUGAGAAGUAACGUUGCUUUGAGUAUUUUUGUCAAUGGUUUUGGAAUAAUACUGGCACUCAUUUCUGUGAAGUAGAUUGUUAGAAGGGAACAUAUCUUUUAUUGUCAUGAAUAGUACCAAAUAUUUUUCAAAAUGAUGAUGCUAAUUCAUGCUCCCGUAGCAGCAUAUGUGAGGAGACAUUUCUCCAAAUCCUUGUGAACUUAGUUUUAUCUCUCCCUAAAAAUUCCAUCACUGUGGUUAGUCUUUCAUUUGUAUAGCAUCUUACUUAAAAUGUUUAACCAAAAAUUUUGUUUUAAUCUAAUGAUGCAGGCCAGCAGGUUUGUGUACGCCUGUCUGACCCCAGCCAUGUAGUGCCCAUGAUCCCUCUGAAGUGUGACUCUGACUUUUCUUGAAAACAACUGUUGGCUUUCAUCCACAGCUGAGUCAUCAUCCACAGCUGGAGCAUCAGGGUCAUCAUCCACCGAUGGAACAUCAUCCACCGAGGGGUCAACAUCCACCAAUGGAACAUCAUCCACUGCUGGGAUAUCAUCAAGUGCUGGGGCAUCAUCCACCAAUGGGACAUCAUCAACUGCUGGGGCAUCAUCCACCUAUGGGACAUCAUCAACUGCUGGGACAUCAUCAACUGCUGAGGCAUCCACCUAUGGGACAUCAUCAACUGCUGGAACAUCAUCAACUGCUGAGGCAUUAUCCACCGAUGGGUCAUCAUCAACUGCUGGGACAUCAUCAACUGCUGGGAUAUCAUCAACUGCUGUGACAUCAUCAACUGCUGGGUCAUCAUCCACUGAUGGGACAUCAUCAACUGCUGGGACAUCAUGAACUGCUGGGGCAUCAUCCACCGAUAGGACAUCAUCAACUGCUGGGACAUCAUGAACUGCUGGGGCAUCAUCCACCGAUAGGACAUCAUCAACUGCUGGGCAUCAUCCACUGAUGGGACAUCAUCAACUGCUGGGGCAUCAUACACCGACGGGACAUCAUCAACUGCUGGGGCAUCAUCCACCGAUGGGACAUCAUCAACUGCUGGGCAUCAUCCACUGAUGGGACAUCAUCAACUGCUGGGGAAUCAUCCACCGAUGAGACAUCAUCAACUGCUGGGGAAUCAUCCACCGAUGGGACAUCAUCAACUGCUGGGGCAUCAUCCACCGAUGGGACAUCAUCAACUGCUGGGACAUCAUGAGCUGCUGGGGCAUCAUCCACCGAUAGGACAUCAUCAACUGCUGGGGCAUCAUCCACCGAUGGGACAUCAUCAACUGCUGGGGCAUCAUACACCGAUGGGACAUCAUCAACUGCUGGGGCAUCAUACACCGAUGGGACAUCAUCAACUGCUGGGGCAUCAUCCUCUGAUGGGACAUCAUCAACUGCUGGGGCAUCAUCCGCUGAUGGGACAUCAUCAACUGCUAGGACAUCAUCAAUGCUGGGGCAUCAUCCACCAAUGGGACAUCAUCCACGGCCGGGGGCAUCAUCCAUGGCUGGGUGCGUCUUCCAUGGCUGGGUGCAUCUUCCACGUCUGGGACAUCAUCCACUGCUGGGUGCAUCUUCCAUGGCUGGGGGCAUCUUCCACGGCUGGGGGCAUCUUCCACGGCUGGAGCAUCAUCUAUGGCUGUUUUGCUCAAUCUGUAUCUGAGCCACAGAUCCAGAUGAUUAAACAAUAAUUUGAGUUCCACUUUUA